CCAGACUCCUACGGGAGGCAGCAGUGAGGAAUAUUGGUCAAUGGGCGGGAGCCUGAACCAGCCAAGCCGCGUGAGGGAAGAAGGUACCGCGUAUCGUAAACCUCUUUUGUCAGGGAACAAAGGCGGGGACUAGUCCCCGGAUGACGGUACCUGAAGAAGAAGCACCGGCUAAAUACGUGCCAGCAGCCGCGGUAAUACGUAUGGUGCAAGCGUUAUCCGGAUUUACUGGGCGUAAAGGGAGCGCAGGCGGCGCGCCAAGUCUGAUGUGAAACCCCGGGGCUCAACCCCGGGCAUGCAUUGGAAACUGGCGGGCUGGAGUGCCGGAGAGGUAAGCGGAAUUCCUAGUGUAGCGGUGAAAUGCGUAGAUAUUAGGAGGAACACCAGUGGCGAAGGCGGCUUACUGGACGGCAACUGACGCUGAGGCUCGAAAGCGUGGGGAGCAAACAGGAUUAGAUACCCCUGUAAUU
rnacentral:rRNA from 1 species